ACAUUUUUAAUUUUAAUAGAAGAAAUGCCUCAGGUUGAAACAAGAGUGGUAUUGGUUCAAGAAGCUGGAAAACAAGAAGAACUUAUAAAGGCCUUAAAGACUAUUAAAAUAAUGGAUGUACCAGUUAUAAA